UGCGCAGGCGGAAUAGUCAGUCAGUGGUGAAAUCCUACAGCUUAACUGUAGAACUGCCAUUGAUACUGCUGUUCUUGAGUACAGUUGAGGUAGGCGGAAUGUGUAGUGUAGCGGUGAAAUGCUUAGAUAUUACACAGAACACCGAUUGCGAAGGCAGCUUACUAAACUGUUACUGACGCUGAGGCACGAAAGCGUGGGGAGCGAACAGGAUUAGAUACCCUGGUAGUCC
rnacentral:rRNA from 1 species